CCUUGUACACGACAUCUCGUAGUGCUCAUGCAUCAUGCAAGAACACUACAAAUUGUCGUGUACAAGGU
rfam:Nematostella vectensis strain CH2 x CH6 NEMVEscaffold_241_Cont20382, whole genome shotgun sequence.